rnacentral:rRNA from 1 species
GACGAACGCUGGCGGCGUGCUUAACACAUGCAAGUCGAGCGGUAAGGCCCUUUCGGGGGUACACGAGCGGCGAACGGGUGAGUAACACGUGGGUGACCUGCCCUCAGCUCUGGGAUAAGCCUGGGAAACCGGGUCUAAUACUGGAUAUGACUCCAUGACGCAUGUUGUGGGGUGGAAAGCCUUGUGCGGCUGAGGAUGGGCCCGCGGCCUAUCAGCUUGUUGGUGGGGGAUGGCCUACCAAGGCGACGACGGGUAGCCGGCCUGAGAGGGCGACCGGCCACACUGGGACUGAGACACGGCCCAGACUCCUACGGGAGGCAGCAGUGGGGAAUCUUGCGCAAUGGGCGAAAGCCUGACGCAGCGACGCCGCGUGAGGGAUGACGGCCUGGU